rnacentral:rRNA from 1 species
GGGCCCGCACAAGCAGCGGAGCAUGUGGUUUAAUUCGAAGCAACGCGAAAAACCUUACCAGGUCUUGACAUCCGAUUAAAACGCGGGAGACCGCGUGUGCCUUCGGGCGAAUCGAGACAGGUGGUGCAUGGUUGUCGUCAGCUCGUGUCGUGAGAUGUUGGGUUAAGUCCCGCAACGAGCGCAACCCUUACGGAUAGUUGCCAGCGAGUAAAGUCGGGCACUCUAUCGGGACUGCCGUGGACAACACGGAGGAAGGUGGGGACGACGUCAAAUCAUCAUGCCCCUUAUGACCUGGGCUACACACGUGCUACAAUGGCUAUCACAAAGAGCAGCGAAGCCGCAAGGUGGAGCGAAUCUCAAAAAAGUAGUCUCAGUUCGGAUUGUGGGCUGCAACCCGCCCACAUGAAGCUGGAGUUGCUAGUAAUCGCGAAUCAGCAUGUCGCGGUGAAUGCGUUCCCGGGCCUU